AAGUGUUUUCUGCUGAUUCACAAAGUCCUCCAUUUUGCAUGUACCGGAGGCAGGUACAGAAGUUGCCGAUAGAUUUUCAGGAGCUGCUGAUGUUAAAAGUGAAUUGUCCAAAGCAGGAACCUUAUUCUCAGACCUUGGGGAUGAACUGGGACAUUCACAUUCCAGAUCUUUGUUAUUAUUUGAUACAUCCGUGUCAACUGUUUUUUGCUGAUUCAUAAAGCCCUCCAUUUUGCAUGUACCGGAAGCAGGUGCAGAAGUUGCCAUUACAUUUUCAGGAGCUGCUGAUGUUAAAGGUGAAUUAUCCAUAGCAGGAACCUUGUUCUCAGACCUUGGGGAUGAACUGGGACAUUCACAUUCCAGAUCUUUGUUAUUAUUUGAUGCAUCCACCUCAAGUGUUUUUUGCUGAUCCGCAAAGCCCUCCAUUUUGCACGUACCGGAAGCAGGUUCAGAAGUUGCUGUUAGAUUUUCGGGAGCUGCUGAUGUUAAAAGUGAAAUGUCCAUAGCAGGAACCUUGUUCUCAGACCUUGGGGAUGAACUGGGACAUUCACAUUCCAGAUCUUUGUUAUUAUUUGAUGCAUCCACCUCAAGUGUUUUUUGCUGAUUCACAAAACCCUCCAUUUUGCAUGUACCGGAAGCAGGUUCGGAAAUUG
rnacentral:lncRNA from 1 species